GAUUUCAAAUGGUAUUGAACGCAGGUCUGCUCUUCUCCACUUUUGAAACCAACUGGUGCAAACAUGGGCCCUAACUUUAAUGUCUUCUCUUCUAUAGGUGGCUUGUGAUAAUGGUCGUUGCUGGACAGGCCGUAAUGGGGGGGGACCAACCGGAGGGACUCUGUGGGGGGCGGGACUGCUCCACCUGCCAGUGUUUCCCUGCUAAAGGAGCCCAGGUAAGACUCCUUACACAUACAGUACACACCGUCCAAUCACAACAUAGACAUCCCACACCACACAUUCUAACCAGGAAUUGCCAUAAACCACAGAAGGGGUGCUCAAACCUUGAAGUAUGUAAAUUAAGUGAUGAGGCUGAAAUGUCCACACAAUUGAAAUGCCAACGUGUUUUCAGAGCAAACUUCGACGUCAUAACCGUCAUGCCAGCCCUAACCGUCAAGAGUAUGUAACCAGUUUGGAUGUAUGGUUUAUGUGAAUGAAACAGCUGGAGUGUUAAUAUUCUCAUUAGUCAAGUGUCACAACCUUAUCAAAAUAAUUAUAGUAAAGCUUUCUACUGCAGCUGACCUGAAUGAAUGAAUUGACAUAUAAUGGGGCUAUUAUGUUUAGUACCCAUUAGGGUCAUACACAAGUGUUUAGGGAUCUGAACACAUAACUAAAAUGAAAAUGGGUCUCCGUGUUUAGAUUGUUAACACAAGAACAUGUUUAUUCACUGUAACACUUUUUAAACACAGGAACACGUUUAUUCAGCACAAGCCGUUUUUCAUAUUUCCCAGCAUGCCUUUCGAGUGAAUGUGAGAGACAAGGUUGUUGCAACUCCUAUUUUGCUUUAUGACCACAUACUAUACACUUCAAAAAGCCUUUAGGAAUGGUCUAUUUAUCCUCAAGAUUUUGGUCUGAAAAUCCUGACUCAUGUGCCACAUCAGACCUGCAAGUCACAAUGUUCUUUUUAGUAAUUCCUAUUGCAAUCCAGCCAGAAGGAUGAUAUCCAACAAUUAUAAUAUUUUAUCCCCCACAACUUGCCCUCAGAAUGACUGCUAAAGGAGAAAUAAAUAAUAAACAAGACUACCUAAACCAACUAGACUGGAAUAACCAUCUCAGUAAUGGGUACAAUAAGUCCAACACCUGACAGAUUGGAUUAGUUUAUGAUAAAAAUGUAAGUUAUUGAUUUUUGUUUAGUGGAAGGUCAAUUAAUCAAUUUGUAUGAGGAAACAAAUAUUAAAACAAUCUAUUCUAAAAAUCAACCUGCACCAAAGCAUGCUGGGAAAUAUCAUAAUGAGCCCCCCACACAAUUGUUUUUCACUCUGACAUGGAACCCAAACCGGCUGCACGCUGUGCCAUCGUGCAUACAUGUAUUUUUUUUCCCCCCACACCAAACGCGAUCAUGACACGCAGGUUAAAAUAUCAAAACAAACUCUGAACCAAUUAUAUUAAUUUGGGGACAGGUCGAAAAGCAUUAAACAUUUAUGCCAAUUUAGCUAGUUAGCUUGCACUUGCUAGCUAAUUUGUCCUAUUUAGCUAGCUUGCUGUUGCUACCCAAUUUGUCCUGAGAUUUAAACAUUGAGUUGUUAUUUUACCUGAAAUACACAAGGUCCUCUACUCUACCAAUUAAAUCCACACAUAAAACGGUCAACAGAAUCGUUUCUAGUCAUCUCUCCUCCUAGGCUUUUUCUUCUCUUGACUUUUGCGAUUGGCAACUUUCAUAAAUUAGGUGCAUUACCGCCACUGGCCUCGUUUGUCUUUCAGUCACCCACGUGGGUAUAACCAAUGACGAAAUGGCACGUGGGUUCCUGCUUCUAUAAACCAAUGAGGAGAUGGGAGAGACAGGACUUGCAGCGUGAUCUGCAUCAGAAAACAGAACUGAUUUCUAUUUUAGCCCUUGGCAACGCAGACGCUUGUUGAAUAACAUAGAUUUCUAAAUAUAUUUUGCAACGCGAGCGGUGUGGUCAGCCUAUGAGAGACAAUGGGAA
rnacentral:lncRNA from 13 species